CGGUUUCUUUUUAUAAAAACUUAGGAUAGGUCGGUUUUAACUUUUUUUUUUAAAACUUUUUUUUUAAUUUUCCGAACAAGCGGACGCCAUUUUGUUUAGUCAGUGCUUCCACAUCCAAAGAUAAAUUUCCCUAAUAUUGCCUCAAAUUUCAAUUUUCCACAAACGUUUUCCUCUAAGUGGAAACACUUACAAGCAUGAUCCAAUAAAAAAGUUUAGGGUCGGGAUUUCGGCGUCCAAAAGCUAGGUAGGGUCGGAAAACCGG